UCUAAAAUCUUAAAUUCUUAACCUACUGUUUCGGUGAUGAGUUUUUAAUAUAAUUUAAAAUUACUGUUAAAAGAAUGUAAAUAGUAUUUUAAUAAUGGUCAAAGAUUAAAUUAAAUCAGAUUUGUUGCGGCCAACUAGUCUUCUGAUUCUUAUUUCCAAAGUCGCGUCUCGUCCGUUACAAGUGGUGUCAGCUGUGUGGUACUGUUCAAAAGUCUGUGAUUAAAUUGUUUCCACGUUUCUGCGAGUCCUACGAGCUGAGAAACGCUGUGGAGAUGGGACUACGGGUCAUCAGCGAUUCCAGGAAAUUUCUAAAUGCCGAUAUGACUGCAAACUAAUACCUGUUGAACAGAAGUUGAAACUAUUCACCACUCUUCAUGAUUUAGACUUAAAUGGACAAGGAACUACCUUCUCGGUCUGAUUGAAUUGAUGUCGAUUAAAAGAAGCAACCAGAUGAAAGUAUUCGAGAACAUACUCUUUCUCACUCCGUAUCAGAUGUCCAAGGACAAAAUAAACGGGAAAUUUCUAAAUGCCGAUAUGACUGCAAACUAAUACCUGUUGAACAGAAGUUGAAACUAUUCACCACUCUUCAUGAUUUAGACUUAAAUGGACAAGGAACUACCUUCUCGGUCUGAUUGAAUUGAUGUCGAUUAAAAGAAGCAACCAGAUGAAAGUAUUCGAGAACAUACUCUUUCUCACUCCGUAUCAGAUGUCCAAGGACAAAAUAAACGGGAAAUUUCUAAAUGCCGAUAUGACUGCAAACUAAUACCUGUUGAACAGAAGUUGAAACUAUUCACCACUCUUCAUGAUUUAGACUUAAAUGGACAAGGAACUACCUUCUCGGUCUGAUUGAAUUGAUGUCGAUUAAAAGAAGCAACCAGAUGAAAGUAUUCGAGAACAUACUCUUUCUCACUCCGUAUCAGAUGUCCAAGGACAAAAUAAACGGGAAAUUUCUAAAUGCCGAUAUGACUGCAAACUAAUACCUGUUGAACAGAAGUUGAAACUAUUCACCACUCUUCAUGAUUUAGACUUAAAUGGACAAGGAACUACCUUCUCGGUCUGAUUGAAUUGAUGUCGAUUAAAAGAAGCAACCAGAUGAAAGUAUUCGAGAACAUACUCUUUCUCACUCCGUAUCAGAUGUCCAAGGACAAAAUAAACGGGAAAUUUGUAAAUGCCGAUAUGACUGCAAACUAAUACCUGCUGAACAGAAGUUGAAACUAUUCACCACUCUUCAUGAUUUAGACUUAAAUGGACAAGGAACUACCUUCUAGGUCUGAUUGAAUUGAUGCCGAUUGAAAGAAGACGUCAUGGAUCAUACGAGCAACCAGAUGAAAGUAGGCGACAACAUAUUGUUUCCUACUCCGUACCAGUUGGUAGGACUGACUCUACAUCUUCCACACGCUUCCUACGACGCUCCGUAGUUAAAUUUAAUUUAUAUGUGACAGUGACAUUUUAGAAACAUUUUCAAGUCUUAAACAAUUAUACUAUACAGCAAACAAUUGUGUUCGAAAGUGAAAUUGACAAAUUUCAAUCUCUUAUGAGUAACUGCCAACUUCAAUACUAACCAACCAGUUAACUAGGUUAGACUGGCACACAACACAAGACCAUGUUGACGCAACUGUGGAGCGUCUUAUCAGUCUUCUACAAUUAUCACCCUUCACUUCUACUUUGAUAGCAGAGAAGGAUCCGUCUUGUAUUCCUAGACUGGAGAUAACGAGAUCGAUUCCCACAUCAGGCACUAUAUUUUUUCCAUACAGUUUAUUUAUUAUCAAAGUUACUGUAUAUUAUUGUAAAUAAAAUUUACCCUUUUUAAAUAUCCUA